ACACACUACACACACUGCCCCCCAAACACACACGCCCCCCCCAUACACACACACUACACACUGCCCCCACAAACACUACACACACUGCCCCCAUAUCCACACUACACACACUGCCCCACAAACACUGCCCCCCAUACACACACACUACACACACCACCUCACAAACACUGCCCCCCAUACACACACUGCCCCACAAACACUGCCCCCAUACACACACUACACACACGUUCUUAAACGGUUUGACUACUUACUCUGGGGUGGGAUCCUGGCACUACUGGCGCCAUAACUACUACACUGAGCUGUAGUGGUUAUUGUGCCUGGAUUAUUUCUUUAAAUAAUCUACAAGUGCCCCUCCCGAGAUCAGGCUCUGGAUCCGCCACUGGGUGGUGUAGUGGUAUCUGGAUAUACCCCUACCAGGUGAAAUUGAUGAAUGUUAGCACUUUACAUGUUAUAUUUAUAUGGUUGUUAUAUAUUGUGAAUUAUGUUAUGUUGUGGG